CUUGUAUUCCAUCCGUUCCGAAUUACUUGUCGCAGGUAUGGAUGUAUCUAGAUGUAUUUUAGUUCUAGAUACAUCCAUUUUCGUGACGAGUAAUUCGAAACGGAGGAAGUAGAUC
rfam:Triticum aestivum genome assembly, contig: Triticum_aestivum_CS42_TGACv1_scaffold_604678_7DL